CCUACGGGAUGCAGCAGUGGGGGAUAUUACACAAUGGGGGAAACCCUGAUGCAGCGACGCCGCGUGAGUGAAGACGUAUUUCGGUAUGUAAAGCUCUAUCAGCAGGGAAGAAAAAAGACGGUACCUGACUAAGAAGCCCCGGUUAACUACGUGCCAGCAGCCGCGGUAAUACGUAGGGGGCAAGCGUUAUCCGGAUUUACUGGGUGUAAAGGGAGCGUAUACGGCAAUACAAGUCGGAAUUGAAAUACCCGGGCUCCACCCGGUAACUGCUUAGGAAACUGCAUGGCUAGAGUGCUGGAGAGGUAAGCGGAAUUCCUAGUGUAGCGGUGAAAUGCGUAGAUAUAAGGAGGAACACCAGUGGCGAAGGCGGAUUGCUGGACAGUAACUGACGCUGAGGCGCGAAAGCGUGGGGAGCAAACAGGAUUAGAUACCCUUGUAGUC
rnacentral:rRNA from 1 species